GUCCGUCCGUCCGUCCGUCGUCCACACUUCGGACAAUAACUCAAAAACACUUUCACCAAUUUCCAUGAAACUUAAGUGAAUUGUUUAUAUCUAUUGACGUAAGCUCCCUUUCGUUUUUUUUUUAAUUUCAGAUUUUAAGUUUUGGAUUUAUGGGGCUUUAUUCAUAAAAAAGGGGGGAUUUUUAACACUUCGGACAAUAACUCAAAAAGGCUUUCACCAAUAUCAUGAAACUUUCGUGAAUUGUUUAUAUCUAUUGAUGUAAGCUCCCUUUCAAUUUUUAUAAAUUUCAGAUUUUAAGUUUUGGAUUUAUGGGGCUUUAUUCAUAAAAAAAGGGGGAUUUUCAACACUUCGGACAAUAACUCAAAAAGGCUUUCACCAAUGUCCAUGAAACUUUGGUGAAUUGUUUAUAUCUAUUGAUGUAAGCUCAGAGAGAGAUUUUAAGUUUUGGAUUUAUGGGGCUUUAUUCAUAAAAGAAAGGGGGAUUUUCAACACUUCGGACAAUAACUCAAAAAGGUUUUCACCAAUGUCCAUGAAACUUUGGUGAAUAGUUUAUAUCUAUUGAUGUAAGCUCUCUUUCAAUUUUUAUAAAUUUCAGAUUUUACAUUUCCGUGUUAUGAAUUUUUAUGCUUAAAAAAGGGGGGAUUUUCCAAUUUUGGGACAAUAACUAAC
rnacentral:lncRNA from 1 species